UACAGAGGUCUCAAGCGUUGUUCGGAUUCAUUGGGCGUAAAGGGCGCGUAGGCGGCUGUUCAAGUCGGGGGUGAAAGCCUGUGGCUCAACCACAGAAUUGCCUUCGAUACUGGACGGCUCGAGACCGGAAGAGGUCAGUGGAACUGCGAGUGUAGAGGUGAAAUUCGUAGAUAUUCGCAAGAACACCAGUGGCGAAGGCGGCUGACUGGUCCGGUUCUGACGCUGAGGCGCGAAAGCGUGGGGAGCAAACAGG
rnacentral:rRNA from 1 species